UGGAGCAGAAAUUUCCUAUUUUGCAAGGUUUCAAAACAGACUCUCAAAUAGAUCCCACAACUCAGCCGCUUGCUGUGAAAGGCUAACCUACAGAGGAAAGCACAUCAGAGAAGGAGGCUUUGCUCCUUCUCCUGCCAGUAACUGCUUCAAAUCUUGGGUGCUUUACUUGUAUUACACCUCAUUGGAAACUUUUAAGAAGUCUUUCCUCCCACUGCAGAUGAGGAAACUGAGGCCCAGAGAAUGUAAGAAUCUAGCAAAGUCACCAUAGCAGGGUUUUCCUAAGGAAAAGGUUCUGGAUGGCAGAGGAACCCUUUGUUAUGGAGAAUGAUCUCAGGCAGAGGCUGGCUGGGCUAGUCCAAGCUCACAUGGACUCCUGCACAGUUGAACCUAGCCAGAGGUAGACAAUCAGGUGUGUCCAUGAACAGGUAUUCUUUGCCAGCAUCACACACCCAAAUACGUUACAUCAACCUCAUUCCUGUCUACCCUAUAACAGGAGCCCUAGUUCAGGCUACUGAAAACCAAAGUGGUAUAGAGACAUUCUGCAAACCAGGACUGGCUCUUGUUCUGUAAGAGUUGGCAUCUAAGGUAGAAGACCAGAAAUACAGUUCACCAAUGGCAUGUGUGAAUUUAACAUUCAAGGUUUGGACUAUUCUUGGGUGGUCCCAGUCCUCCAAUUUACUAAUUAGCUGAGGUGUAAACCUAAUCACUCACAAAUGCCAACAUCUCUGUAGGGCCAAGUCACUCAGCUACUUUAGAAGCCUAACUACCCUUCCAGAUUCUGCUCAGCACAUAGCUCUGCUGCUCUCAACUCAUCCUGCAUAUAUUUUAUUGCAUUUCAUGAGGUAAGUACAUACUCUAGCAAUGAUAAAAUAUUUGGGAGUUUUUCAAGGUCUGGGGAUAUAGUCAUAAAUGUCUAGAGACUACAACAGGGAGGUAAUUGAGAGCACAGCAACCCACCACACAGCAGCAACCCACUACACAGCUGUACUGCAGAGCUGAGCACACGGCCGUGGGACCCAGCCUAGGCACAGGUAAGAGGAGUUUGGGGCAACUGUACAAAAGUCAGGUGGCUUAGACACUGCUGUCACCCAGCCUCAGCAUGUCUCCUCCCUCAUAGAGCUGUUCUGUGCAAGUACCACUUUGCUGUUAAUAGGCUGAGCUGUGUUCCAGGACUGCACUGCAUUAAAAAUUAACCUGGCCUACUGUGACCUGCCGUGACCUGCUGAAUCCAAUGUCAAAGCCUAUUUGUGAUACCAGGAGGACGAGGUGACGUAUGAUUGCUGAUGUACAUGGACUCAGGCCAUGGCACUAGACCAGACCAUACAAUUUCUUCUUACCUCUGGAUGAUGGUCAAGACAGCAGCAAUCUAAAGCUCUGUGGCUUCUUACCUCACUUCCAGUAUGAAUGGAAGGCCUUGAAUUGUUCAUUUUUGAACACACUUAACAAGCAGUAUCAUUCCAGCAGCAGCAAUCUGAUGCAACCAGUUGACAGGACAAACAUGAAGCCAUUUGAAAAUGAGGAAUUGUUCAUCAUUCCUGAUUUUGAAUUUUAAAAUUCCUCACAUCUUGCCCAAUAUAGUGAAAGUCACCUUAAUGAAGAAAGAAGAGAUUAAACUACCAUGACUUUGGAACAGCAGAGGAUCUCAGCUGUAAUUCUUUGGCUCAGAACCAGGGUCUAAAACCAGCCAUGGGAAAAGCUGCUGAAAUGGAGCCUGCAAUUCUCUCCAUGUUUGACUUGCAUAGUGUUGACAUUAUAACACCAGAGAGACCCAAACAUAUUUCAAACAAUUAUAACUUAUUUUCUAUAAAUAUUUUUAAAUUGCUUUAAAAAAUAAAAUAACAUAUUUUACCCUUCUCAUUUUCUAAGUUACUGUGGUCACCCUCAGCAGCUCACUACUACAGAUUUAUUUUUGGCUAGAAGGUCAGGGAGGACAUCUUAAGGUGCUAAGUCGGC